GAUGAACGCUAGCGGCAGGCCUAAUACAUGCAAGUCGGACGGGAUUCAGGAGCUUGCUUCUGAUGAGAGUGGCGCACGGGUGCGUAACACGUAUGUAACCUACCUUUAUCAGGGGGAUAGCCUCUCGAAAGAGAGAUUAAGCCCGCAUAAAAUCACAGCACAGCAUUGUGUAAUGAUCAAAUAUUUAUAGGAUAAAGAUGGGCAUGCGGAACAUUAGCUAGAUGGCGGGGUAACGGCCCACCAUGGCGACGAUGUUUAGGGGAUCUGAGAGGAUGGCCCCCCACACUGGUACUGAGACACGGACCAGACUCCUACGGGAGGCAGCAGUAAGGAAUAGUGGUCAAUGGGCGGAAGCCUGAACCAGCCAUGCCGCGUGCAGGAAGACGGCCCUACGGGUUGUAAACUGCUUUUAGACGGGAAUAAACCCAGAUACGUGUAUCUGGCUGAAUGUACUGUAAGAAUAAGGAUCGGCUAACUCCGUG
rnacentral:rRNA from 1 species